GUCUUUCCUCAACUGUCAGUUAACAUUGACAACGUAGCCAAACGUGUGGAUCUGGAGAUCUUCUCUGCUGAAGUGACAGACUCUGCUCUGUACUACUGUGCUCUGCAGCCCAGAGUGACAGGAAACCCAUAAACACUAAAACUAUCCGCAUCAAGCAAUGCAGCAACAGAAUCCAGAAACCAAGGCUGAGAUCUGAUCUGGUAUUUCUAUGUUCCACAUGGAGAACUCUCUGAUACUGGUUCUCAUUCUAGCCUCAGGACAGAUUGCUGGGGAUCACAUUACUCAUGUAAAUAAUGAAGAGAUCAUAACAGAGGGAGAACUUGUGACUCUGAGAUGCUCAUAUGAUACAAGCAGUGAAUAUCCUCUGCUUUACUGGUACCGACAUUAUUCUAACCAGGC